UACGAAGGGGGCGAGCGUUGUUCGGAAUUACUGGGCGUAAAGGGCGCGCAGGCGGCCCUUGAAGUCAGGCGUGAAAGCCCCGGGCUCAACCUGGGAGGUGCGCUUGAUACUCGAGGGCUUGAGUGCGGGAGAGGAGAGUGGAAUUCCCAGUGUAGAGGUGAAAUUCGUAGAUAUUGGGAAGAACACCGGUGGCGAAGGCGGCUUCCUGGUCUGCAACUGACGCUGUGGCGCGAAAGCUAGGGGAGCAAACGGG
rnacentral:rRNA from 1 species